ACCGUGAAAAAAUUAGAGUGUUCAAAGCAGGCAGAUCCAAUUUUCUGCCACCGAAUACAUUAGCAUGGGAUAAUGGAAUAGGACCCUGUCCUCCUAUUUUCAGUUGGUUUGCCGCGAGGACCAGGGUAAUGAUUAAUAGGGAUAGUUGGGGGCAUUAAUAUUUAAUUGUCAGAGGUGAAAUUCUUGGAUUUAUGAAAGAUUAACUUCUGCGAAAGCAUCUGCCAAGGAUGUUUUCAUUAAUCAAGAACGAAAGUUAGGGGAUCGAAGACGAUCAGAUACCGUCGUAGUCUUAACCAUAAACGAUGCCGACCAGCGAUUAGGAGACGUUGAAUACAAAACACCACCAUGCGAUUGCGGUCGUCUUUGGUGUCGCUCACAAGGCGGCAUCGGGACGGCUUAGCUCGCAUGGCACCGGUGAAUGAC
rnacentral:rRNA from 1 species